rnacentral:rRNA from 1 species
ACUCAAAUGAAUUGACGGGGGCCCGCACAAGCGGUGGAGCAUGUGCUUUAAUUCGAUGCAACGCGAAGAACCUUACCUGGGCUUGACAUGGGAAUGAAAGAUCGCAGAGAUGUGGUCCCUUCCGCAAGGAACAUUCUACACAGGUGCUGCAUGGUUGUCGUCAGCUCGUGUCGUGAGAUGUUGGGUUAAGUCCCGCAACGAGCGCAACCCUCGUCCUUAGUUGCCAUCAGGUAAUGCUGGGAACUCUAAGGAGACUGCCUGGUUUAACCAGGAGGAAGGUGGGGAUGACGUCAAAUCCUCAUGGCCCUUACGUCCAGGGCUAGACACGUGCUACAAUGGUCGGUACAAUGGGAUGCGAGGCCGCGAGGCCAAGCCAAUCUCCAAAAACCGAUCUCAGUUCGGAUAGAAGUCUGCAAUUCGACUUCUUGAAGCUGGAAUCGCUAGUAAUCGCGGAUCAGCAUGCCGCGGUGAAUACGUUCCCGGGCCUUGUACACACCGCCCGU